GUACACGCUGUGACUAGCAUAUCAAUAAGCGGAGGAAAAGAAACUAACAAGGAUUCCCUUAGUAACGGCGAGUGAAGCGGGAAGAGCUCAAAUUUGAAAUCUUCAAGGUUUUACCUUGACGAAUUGUAGUUUAAAGAAGUGUUUUCUGCUGAAGUUUUGGUAAAAGUUCUUUGGAAUAGGACAUCAUAGAGGGUGAGAAUCCCGUAUUUGACCAUUAUUUUCAGCUUUGUGAUACACUUUCAAAGAGUCGGGUUGUUUGGGAAUGCAGUCCAAAAUGGGUGGUAAAUUUCAUCUAAAGCUAAAUAUUGGCGAGAGACCGAUAGCGAACAAGUACCGUGAGGGAAAGAUGAAAAGAACUUUGAAAAGAGAGUUAAACAGUACGUGAAAUUGUCAAAAGGGAAGCGUUUGACACCAGUGUUGUUUUCUCGAAAAUCAAUUAAAAAUGGCUCGAUUUUGUAUUGCUUGAAACCUUAAAAGCUCACUGUACAUUUUUCGUGUCUUUUUUAAUGCACUUUUCGUUUAACAAGUCAACAUCAGUUUCUUUUGUUGUAAAAGGGUCAUUGGAAGGUGGCUUUCUUUUCGGAGAAAGUGUUUAUAGCCUUUGGCCUCUGCAAUCGGAGAGACUGAGGUCUGCAGCGUAGACUCUUCGGGGUUAGAUACAUUUGUGCUAAGUUAUAGCUUUUUAUAGACAACUUGUUGACUAUAAUUAGUCUUGUAGCUUACUCGCUUAUGCUAUUUUACCUACGCUUAGGAUGUUGAGUAGCGACAUACGCAC
rnacentral:rRNA from 1 species